UACGGAGGAGGCAAGCGUUAUCCGGAAUUACUGGGCGUAAAGCGUUCGUAGGUGGUUUAGUAAGUCUGCUGUUAAAGCUCGGGGCUUAACUUCGUAUCGGCAGUGGAAACUACUAGACUAGAGUGUGGUAGGGGUAGAGGGAAUUCCCAGUGUAGCGGUGAAAUGCGUAGAUAUUGGGAAGAACACCAGUGGCGAAGGCACUCUGCUGGGCCAUAACUGACACUGAUGGACGAAAGCUAGGGGAGCGAAAGGG
rnacentral:rRNA from 1 species